rnacentral:tRNA from 1 species
GGGGGUAUAGCUCAGUGGUAGAGCAUUCGAUUGGAGAUCGAGAGGUAUCCGGUUCAAAUCCGGGAGCUCACU